rnacentral:rRNA from 1 species
AUUUAUGAGAGUUUGAUCCUGGCUCAGGACGAACGCUGGCGGCGUGCCUAAUACAUGCAAGUCGAACGCUUCUUUUCCCACCGGAGCUUGCUCCACCGGGAAAAGAGGAGUGGCGAACGGGUGAGUAACACGUGGGUAACCUGCCCAUCAGAAGGGGAUAACACUUGGAAACAGGUGCUAAUACCGUAUAACAAUCGAAACCGCAUGGUUUCGUUUUGAAAGGCGCUUUACGGUGCCGCUGAUGGAUGGACCCGCGGUGCAUUAGCUAGUUGGUGAGGUAACGGCUCACCAAGGCCACGAUGCAUAGCCGACCUGAGAGGGUGAUCGGCCACAUUGGGACUGAGACACGGCCCAAACUCCUACGGGAGGCAGCAGUAGGGAAUCUUCGGCAAUGGACGAAAGUCUGACCGAGCAACGCCGCGUGAGUGAAGAAGGUUUUCGGAUCGUAAAACUCUGUUGUUAGAGAAGAACAAGGGUGAGAGUAACUGUUCACCCCUUGACGGUAUCUAACCAGAAAGCCACGGCUAACUACGUGCCAGCAGCCGCGGUAAUACGUAGGUGGCAAGCGUUGUCCGGAUUUAUUGGGCGUAAAGCGAGCGCAGGCGGUUUCUUAAGUCUGAUGUGAAAGCCCCCGGCUCAACCGGGGAGGGUCAUUGGAAACUGGGAGACUUGAGUGCAGAAGAGGAGAGUGGAAUUCCAUGUGUAGCGGUGAAAUGCGUAGAUAUAUGGAGGAACACCAGUGGCGAAGGCGGCUCUCUGGUCUGUAACUGACGCUGAGGCUCGAAAGCGUGGGGAGCAAACAGGAUUAGAUACCCUGGUAGUCCACGCCGUAAACGAUGAGUGCUAAGUGUUGGAGGGUUUCCGCCCUUCAGUGCUGCAGCUAACGCAUUAAGCACUCCGCCUGGGGAGUACGACCGCAAGGUUGAAACUCAAAGGAAUUGACGGGGGCCCGCACAAGCGGUGGAGCAUGUGGUUUAAUUCGAAGCAACGCGAAGAACCUUACCAGGUCUUGACAUCCUUUGACCACUCUAGAGAUAGAGCUUCCCCUUCGGGGGCAAAGUGACAGGUGGUGCAUGGUUGUCGUCAGCUCGUGUCGUGAGAUGUUGGGUUAAGUCCCGCAACGAGCGCAACCCUUAUUGUUAGUUGCCAUCAUUUAGUUGGGCACUCUAGCAAGACUGCCGGUGACAAACCGGAGGAAGGUGGGGAUGACGUCAAAUCAUCAUGCCCCUUAUGACCUGGGCUACACACGUGCUACAAUGGGAAGUACAACGAGUCGCGAAGUCGCGAGGCUAAGCUAAUCUCUUAAAGCUUCUCUCAGUUCGGAUUGUAGGCUGCAACUCGCCUACAUGAAGCCGGAAUCGCUAGUAAUCGCGGAUCAGCACGCCGCGGUGAAUACGUUCCCGGGCCUUGUACACACCGCCCGUCACACCACGAGAGUUUGUAACACCCGAAGUCGGUGAGGUAACCUUUUUGGAGCCAGCCGCCUAAGGUGGGAUAGAUGAUUGGGGUGAAGUCGUAACAAGGUAGCCGUAUCGGAAGGUGCGGCUGGAUCACCUCCUUUCUAAGGAA